AUUUAAUUGUUUCCUGAAGCUUGCUAGGUCUGUUGACUAUCUUAUCAGCUUUAUUGAAAACCCACCAGUACAGUUUUGACCGAGCAUUUAUUUUUUAAGAAUUUAUUGCUCUGAGUGUGUGUGAAGUUGGCUAAGUGGACGACAUGUUGAGGUGUAAUUUCUGUGGCAAGGUGGUGCAGUCAUCAAGGGGCUAUGUGCUUCACUGCAAGCUUCAUUGUAAUGAGUCAUGUUGUGUUUUUAAGUGCAAUAAAACUGACUACAAGCAAACGUUUUUUAGGUAUGGAGCACUUAAGCCUACAUUUUUAUCAAAGACACGCUGGCCCUACCAAUAUUACGGUUUUUAGGCAAGUUACCUCUUUUAAAAGUGCAAUGAAUAUGUGCCAACACCAGAGCCAAGAUGCUAAAGAGCUAAUAGCUCAUCUGAAGAGCCAUUUUGUAAAAGGACAUGUGGUUACUUGUCCAGUCAAAUGAUGCACAAGUACCUUUUAAAGUGAAGUCAUCUUUUACUUCCCAUAUGUCACAGUUAGUGAUUUUAUAUAGAGAUUCUGAGUGUCAAUCAUUAGUGACAGCAUCAGUGUGUCAUCAUUUAAAAGUGACGCAAGUUUACUCAAAUUUUUUGUUAAAGUCUGAUUUGAUACAGAAAUCAGAGGAGCCCUCUACUGAGUCUCCUUCUGAUGUUCUGUGUGACAUUAGUGAUGGUAAGUUAUUUAGGUCUAAUGAGUUCUUUAGUCAAAACCUGUCAUGUCUCAAGCUAAUACUUUACCAGGAUGCCUUUGAGGUUGCUAACCCUUUGGGCUCUGCAAGAACAAAGCACAAGAUUUGUGUAUGUAUCUUUGGCAAAUUUGCCACUUCAUGUCGGUUCAGAUUCGGACCACAUGUCCCUUGUCUUACUUUGCAGGGAGAAGGAUUUCACAGAUUUUGGUCAUGCCAAGGUCUUUUCAGAAUUACUAUCAGACAAUGGGAUUGCUGGACCAGAUGAAACAAAAGGUACUGAUCCAAAUGUGUGUGGACCACGGCGUACCAGAGAAAACUACAACUCUGCUGUGAACCAUCUGCUAAUCAACAAUACAACAGAUGUUGAUGGAGUAAAGUUUUGGUGGUGACACAGCUAAGACCUGCAUAUCUUUUCAAGAAAGUUGGUGUUCCUGACAUUUUCAAACCCCCAAGUUUAAACAACGUCAAGAAAUUAAUUCUCAAAGACUUCAGCAUGCUGUGUUGUUGUGAACAUCAUCAGAAUGAAGAGAAUGAGAAGCAAACCAGUGUUAAGAAGAUUACCUACUAAAGACGGAAUCAACCCAUGGCAGGAAACUUUUCGGGCGGAUCCUCUCGGCCCAAGGUGAAAACUCGAUGGAAAGCAAUUUGACUUCUCCAGCAGAACUUCUCUCUUUUGGUGCCAUGUACACUUAGAACCUGAUCUGUCUGAGGGCCAUCUUCAACCAAGUCCAGACUCAGUGACUUAUUACUCCUGUUCAGUGAGGGGCAAGUGACUAGUUUUCAAGUUUUUGUUCAACCAUUACCAGUGAUAUGCUACAUUGUCAAGGUUUAUAGUGAUUUGUGAUCCUGCAGACAAUAUGAUCUGUACUGUCUUCUUUCCCAGAUGUUAUUUAUAAUUGUCUCAUUGAUUUUCAGUGAUAAUCAGUACCUUGAUUAAAUUUGUGCAUCUUUAAGUUGCCAAUGUAAAAUUUACACCAAAAUAACGUAUGUUGCACAUGUACUGUAUUUUUAGCGGUAAAAUACCGGCAGCUGUGGUUGCCAGGAAUUUACCGUGAAAUUUAACUGGUCGAAAUAAAAAUGUUUUACAAUUUUACCGUGUUUUUUAUUGACACAGCCUGUAAAAAGGUU